rnacentral:rRNA from 1 species
CAGCAGCCGCGGUAAUACAGAGGGUGCAAGCGUUAAUCGGAAUUACUGGGCGUAAAGCGCGCGUAGGUGGUUUGUUAAGUUGGAUGUGAAAUCCCCGGGCUCAACCUGGGAACUGCAUCCAAAACUGGCAAGCUAGAGUAUGGUAGAGGGUGGUGGAAUUUCAUGUGUAGCGGUGAAAUGCGUAGAUAUAGGAAGGAACACCAGUGGCGAAGGCGACCACCUGGACUGAUACUGACACUGAGGUGCGAAAGCGUGGGGAGCAAACAGGAUUAGAUACCCCCGUAGUCCCUGUCUCUUAUAC